rnacentral:lncRNA from 1 species
UGUGGAUGCUAUCUUACAGGUGCUCGAUACCGACGAUAGAUGAUGAAAAGUUAGCCGCAACAGAUUGGCGCACUAGGUAGGGGGAAAGAUAAUAUUGCAUCAUGACAAAAAUCAGAGUCUAAUGCUCGACUGCAACUGGAUUAGCAAGACACUCUUUCCAUCGGAAAGUGGUUCCUCCCCUUCCUUCAAUAGCAGAACCUAGUUUCUCACAUCCCGUGAUCACCAUG